rnacentral:lncRNA from 1 species
UCGAAUACAUAAACUCAAAUACACAAGAGUCAGCAAAAGUGACUAUAUCUGAGUACAGAUAUAAGUAAACAAGUUUGCCUUUAAAAGGCUAGCAAAACAACAACAUCUGGGCCGAAAAGGCGCAUGCCUCCUGCUUGGGAGCCUCCUAACUACACCUGGUCAUCGGUGGUCUCCACGUAGUAGUAGGCUCCGUCGGGGUAGUCGUAGUCGUCAGCAGGAUCAGCUGGCUCCUGGACUCUGUCAUCUGAUCAAAGCAAUCGGGUAUAGGGGAAAAGAGGUAGCAAAGCAACCGUGAAUACUCAUCAAAAGUACUCGGAAAACUUACAUCAAAUCUAUACUAAGUAUGCAUCGGUAUCAAAGGAAUGAGACUAUAUCUUUGGGCUAAACUGCAGAAAUGCCAGAAUAGAAGGGAAGGUCUAGCCUAUCGAAGACUACCAUCUUUCUUAGUAAAGUGCAAAUUAGCGGUAACAAGUAUAUUGUAGUAACGCCCAAUGAUCCUUUCUCGACUCCCUGCGAGAAAGUAAUCCCGGAAAGCCAUCAUAUCCAUUUAGAAUCUCCGGUAUCCAGUUCUAGAUGUAAUAGACCAGGAUACAACUAAGAGCGUCUGUUACCGUCGACAUGGAUAUUCGAAUAGACAAAUUGCCCUACAGGGGUGCACAAACUUACACAAAACGCUCGAUUAACUUUGGUCGGGCUCACUUUUCCAAGUCAUGCCCGGCCUCAACUGGUCGACACACCGUAGUCCUACCUAGACUCAACAGAGAGGCCAGCAUGCUGGUCUACAUCCUAAGUGCUCAGGGGUCUUUGGCCAUCGCCCCUUGCACUCCUGCACCCCUUGCACUCCUGCACGUUGUGUACGCGGCCUAGCACUACACCACGAAAAAAUAUUAGGGCAAUCAACUGCCGGCAAAGAUAGUGGCAGGUAAAGCAGGUAAAACAUUGAGAACCAAGCCCAGUACCUGCCACUAUCUUCGUCCCAUCAAUUAACUAGAUAGUUAACAACCAAGCACAUUCAGGACAUGCAUAGAUUAAUGCAAAGACAGUAAAACAUGAAUUCUGUAAGUUACUGCAAAGCAGAGCAAGUUCCCUCUGACUUAAUGGUGCCACUUGUCUCAUGACUAACGUUACUGCAGAAAAAUGAGAGUGAAAAUAAAACAGAAAUAAUGUUGAAAUCACAGCAAGAUGGAGGACCAUUAACUGCAACUUCCUCUUUAGCUUCAAUUCAUACACCCAACAGAACACCACAAAGGGCCUGAUUGGAAUGAUUCCUGAUAUCUCUAGGUAAUGAAUUUGAACUAACACUAAUUAGCACAUAGGAAUUGAUCAACACAAGGACGGAUAUGAAAGAUAAAGAUUAGAAGAAUAACAGCCAGCGUCAUAUGUUAGGCUUGUUCUUGUUGAUCAACUUAAUCAGCGAGGUUGUUCUUGUUGCAGCCAUGCUAAAAUAUAACCGGAAGUACAUAUGCCAAGCAGCUGAGCAUUAAUAUGUUAAUUAGAUAUGACAAUGAAACAAACAAGUAUUUACCGCUAGGCACAUAUCUUCCAAACAUCCAUGUUUUCACCAACAACAGCCCGUCCUAUACUAUUUUUUAUUUAAAUACCAUAUCCUGCAGCAAGCAGAUGCAUAUAGUCAAGCAUAAUAAGAUCUUUAUAUUUAUGAACCGAAGCAUCAUACAGGCCAUAAAAAUAAAUAGAAACCGUGAUGCCACUGGACUUCCUUGUAGUAUUUGUAUUCCUUCUAACUGCAAAAAACAAAAGGAUAAUUUCAAAGGUUUAUGUUCCAGUUUUCUUACUUGGACACCCCAAAGUGGCUAUGAUCUUGCGGUAAAUUUCUAAAUCCACAAAAUUAAUGUGUCUAUUGGCUCUAUGGAUUGCGUUUUGACAUGUAUUACUGAAAUUCCCUUUAUAUGUAUGGAUCAUGGUCUGAAAGUAUGCAUACAAACCACCAAUCUCUCUGUUUACAGUUAUAGCUCAAUGCAACAGAGUAAAAGAAAAGCAUACAUAAGUGCGUGUGAUGCUAUGGCAGAUUAUUUGGACUUUUGGACAUCAAAAUGGUUGGUAGAGCGAAGAAGAGUGCAACUGGACAAAGCACCAAACAAUCUGCAUGGUACAGAUCUGAUCUAACAUCCAUUCACCGGUUGAGAUGAAUGACAUAGGCUAAGCUUUGGGUUUCGACCAAUCGGUACAGAGUUAAAAGAAACCUGGUACGUUCUGGAAUGAUUCCCUGGCCGAGCACAUAUCUCAAACACCCCUGUUGUCAUACCUAAUACCAAAAAUCAGAGCAAAAGUCAAUUACAAACGUAACUGAAAACUCAUGUAGGACUGAAGGCUUAUUGGGUUAUUUAUGCAGCUAUUAUGAAAUAAGGCACUAUAAAGCCUAUCAUUCAGGAUAAAGUAAAUUAUACAAAAUAAGAAGUUUGUGUGAAUCUUACUAGUUCCCAACAUAAUUAACUAAAAAAGGAGUUGCAGAUGGCAAGAAUCAGCACCAAACCAGGAUCUGCUUCUGCCAAGCUUCCCAAAUAAUUAUUUAGCAAUGUGGCAUAGGACAACGAUUUAGUAAAGUACCAGGCCUUAUCUAAUUCUGUACCGAGCUAAUACAGACAGGAUCCCCAUUGAGGCUAUAGGGGCACUAAGCAUCGAUCUUAACCAGUAGUACGUGACUGGCGAUGGUACUGGAUCCGAAUGCAAAGGGGGUUCAGCUCGAGCCUCCUGCCUACCAGAUCCGAUUAGACUGUAGCCAAUUUACUAGAUGAGCACAAGAACAAAAAUCUGCAUGUCACAACACAACAAAACAAGUAUGAAAAAAAUUAGAGUUGACCGAGCACGAACAGAGCUCAAGGGCGGCCUCUAGCUGCGACUCACUCCGUGGUUAUUGCUGUUGCUUCAAGUGGACGUACGGGUAGUUGGCAGAAGAGUGGAGACGUCACUCUGCUGCUGCUGUUGUGCGAGGGGAAGUAGGGGGCGAGUAAGUAGACGGUGCGGGUGAGGCGUCGUGGACGGGGAUGGUGGCGGCGGCGGAGUGUGUGAAGGAUGCAGUGCAGGUGCGACGGCGUGGGUGGUGAACCGGGUGGAGCUGCGGUGUGGAUGGGGAAUCGGGCGGCGGCGCUGGUUGGGGAUGCGGAUGCGGAUGCGGAUGCGGCGGCGAUGGUGAUGGCGGACGGCAUGGGUGGGGCGUCCUGGACAGAGAUGGGGCGGCGGGGUGGAUAGGGGAUGCAGUGGCGGCGGCGUGGGUGGGGAUGCCUGUGGCUGGGGGAAGAAAGAAG